GAUGUAGAACGUAGCGAAAUGCGAUAAGUAAUGCGAAUUGCAGAAUUCCAGUGAGUCAUCGAAUCUUUGAACGCACAUUGCGCCCUUUGGUAUUCCGAAGGGCAUGCCUGUUCGAGCGUCAUUAUCACCCCUCAAGCCCUCGGCUUGGUGUUGGAAGGUUUGGUGGAGGCCCCCUCGGGGGCUCCUGCCCCUCCCAAAGACAAUGACGGCGGCCUCGUUGGACCCCCGGUACACUGAGUUCUUCACGGGACACGUAUCGGACACAUGGGUUUACGGGACACGGUCUGCCUCCCCUCAGGGAGAAUCUUUCUAAGGUUGACCUCGGAUCAGGUAGGGAUACCCGCUGAACUUAAGCAUAUCAAUAAGCGGAGGA
rnacentral:misc_RNA from 1 species